UCCCAGCAAGAGUAUGCAGAAUGUGUAGGGUUUCCUUGUGCAGCAACUCCGAUUUAGGAGACGGUUCACGCGCAGAAACCACCAUUUUCCUUUUAAAAGCAGUUGCCACAUUGUGGCUGAAUCUGCACAGAGAGAGGCGGCCCGCCGAUCAGCCCGCAGAACCCACCUGCGCCCUGGGGAGGAUGGAGUCGCUUGGAGUGUCGGCCAGCUGCUGCUAAUAUGACUUGACUACUCGAGGAAUUACGCAGCCUUUAAUAAAGCAAGAUGGACCAUGAAGAGUACUGGGAGAAAUGGGAAGGUCUCAGAUCUGGCAGCAUAAGGGCUGAAGCAACAUUCACAGUCUGGAUCAUGCGGAGGCCACGCGGUAUUAGCUUACUUGCUCUGCAGUUUAUGGAUUUGGCGCUGGAGAAGCCUGAGAGAUAGUGGUGCUGGAGACUGGGAAAAAAAUAGAGGAUCCAGAAGAAAGAACAAGAUACUAGAGUUGUGUGCACGCAUGUGAGAUCCUCCUCUCAGAAUGGAGACCUGCAGCUUCCAGAGAGAAGACCUUUUUGAAAGGAGAGCUUUGUUGGACCUCUGUGAAUUAAGGAAGCAAGCCAUGUGAAGUUCAGGUCAGGUGUGUGUCUGGAAACUAUACUAGGCAAAAGGACUGAAGGAAGGAUGAGUUUGGUGAGAACAACCUUGAUCUUCCUCAGUUGUCUCCCUGUGGCCAAACCCAACAAGCAGCCCGAGAUAUAAGGAGCACACUGACCACAGUUGAUAUUGUUCAGUUUCCUGGGACAUAGGAGGGCAAAGGAAGACCAUCCAGCACAGCCAGGCCCUGGAGGCUGACUGGCCAUUAAACACAGAAUGAUGACUGGUGCAGCAGGUGCAGUGAAGUGGGAAGGUGUGGAGCAAAUAAAACAAGUCCAUGGCAUCUAUAAGAAGUGUUGACCCCCAGGAAAUUUAAAGGUUCAUGCACUGUGGUAUUCAUGACGUAUGUGUGAGAGGUAUGAUGGCAAGUGUAUUUCUCAUGAAAGUACUUCAAUUACUUGCAUAUUGUUAUUUCUUUAGAAUUCCCAGGUCCUACACUAUACAAUUACUUAAGACUCAAAGAGAACUGUGACUUGCUUUGACAGAUUGCCCUUUAAUGCAAUGCAUUGGCCCAGUGUCAAUGGGAGUGUUGCCUGAGCUACACCCUUUGCUAAAAUAAUUUUCUAAACCUACUGCUGUGAGUCAACUGUUCUCUUCCCGUAAGUUUUCCUUGACACCCUUUGACAUCUGCAUCAAAUUGAAGCUUCUUAUUAGCACCUUUUAGGAUUUCCAGCAUUCCUCUUGAUGCAUCUUUUUUUUAUUGGAGUAUAGUCAAUUUAUAAUGUGUUAA